rnacentral:rRNA from 1 species
AACGAACGCUGGCGGCGGGCCUCAUACAUGCAAGUCGAGCGCGAAAGUCCGCAAGGAUGAGUAAAGCGGCGCACGGGUGAGUAACACGUGGGUAAUCUACCUUUUGGAUUGGAAUAACCUGUCGAAAGACGGGCUAAUGCCGAGUAAGCCUUCUUGAACGUGAAGUUCGAGACGGGAAAGAUGGCGCAAGCUAUCGCCGAAAGAUGAGCCUGCGUCCCAUUAGUUAGUUGGUGGGGUAAUGGCUUACCAAGACAAUGAUGGGUACCUGGUUUGAGAGAAUGAUCAGGCACACUGGAACUGAAACACGGUCCAGACUCCUACGGGAGGCAGCAGUAGGGAAUAUUGCGCAAUGGACGAAAGUCUGACGCAGCCACGCCGCGUGAGUGAGGAAGGCCUUCGGGUUGUAAAGCUCUGUCGGCUGGGAAAACGGCGUAUCCGGGAAAGUUCGGUAGCGUGAUGGUACCAGCAAAGGAAGCACCGGCAAACGUCUAGUGCCGGCAGCCGCGGUAA